rnacentral:lncRNA from 1 species
GACUUCUUCGGCAUGCUUUUCAAGAGCAUGAAGACAGGUUCUUUAGGUUUGCUGUAUAUCUUGUCCUAGAGAAGCUAGAACUUCAGGUCUAUCAGAGAUUGUUGAAAAAAGAUUUAUAUUAUCCAAAAGCAGAAGGACCCAAGCAAAGCUCACCAGCUGAAGUUGGAAGUAAUUGUCAAAGCAUUGAAAUGGUCAUUGAUGUGGAUGAGGUGGAGGGCAUAAUGGCGAUGCUAAUACACAAAAGUCUGCUGAAGGGAUACUUUGCACACAAGAGUAAAGUUGUGGUUUUAAGCAAGCACUGAUAUCCAACUCUUAUGCAAGUCCAUAACAAUAAAUUAUACUCUGCUAGU